GCAUCGGAUAGUGUUAUGUCCAAACAUAACAGGGUGAAACAUUAUUGUUGGCAAGAUGACAACUUUGUUGAGCAUGAUAUGACCCACUAUUGUUCUGACACCAGCUUGGGACAUAAUUUUGAUAUGUUCAAUUGAUAAUUUGUCUUUGUAUUCUGUGUUUUCUGGUCAGGUGUUCAGUGAGAAAAAAAUUGGAUGUUAUUGUCAAGAUGGGUUGUAAAACAAUUAUUAUGGGUUGUAAUACAAUGAAUAGGAUGGCUUGAAUGUGUCGAUCAUUACUUAAAAUGUGUCGACCUUAAGAACUAUAUUAUUGACACAAUGGCCUCACCGUCGACCACUACAUUCAUGGCAUGUCCAAAAAGGAGAGCUCAAUUGGAAAGGGCUCUUCUACUAAAAGAUGUCAUAUAUUUCAGAUCUUCCAGAGGUAUAUUUUGUUUUCGUGUUCGUCUUAAUACUAAGUAAAAUGAUAUGCUUCAUAACAAACUUCCACAACUUUAUUCAGGUCACAAAUUUUGAAGAGCGGGAUGAAAUUCCGUAUAAAAUAACUCCUGAUCACCAGACAAAGUUUCAGAAAUACAUAAGAGCAAGCAAAGAGGGUGAGAUCAUUUGACCUUUUACAAUUUAUUUAAUGAAAAUAAUGUGCAUUGCCUUAUUUGAUUGUCAUGCACUAUGCAGAGUUAGAGGGUAUUAGGGCAUCUCUAAUGGUUGGGCAAAUUUGAUGGUCCACGUAUACACAUUUGAUGAUAGUUUGAUGAAAAUUUUGCUUUGAAAAUGUGCUCCAUCUAAUGGUUCAUCAACUAAAGCGGCUAAUGGAUGACCGCUUCACUAAAGCGGGCCCCCAACACCCACUUCACUUAGUUAAAGCGGCUAAUGGAUGACCGCUUCACUAAAGCGGGCCCCCAACACCCGCUUCACUUAGUUAAUGGGGCUGUCCAAGUGCCACUUAGUUAAAGCGGGCUUUGAAGUGCCAAUUUAAGCGGCACUUCAUUAGCCGCUUUAAGUGAAGCGGUCUUCUCUUGCCCGCCUCACCCAGUAUCAAACCUUAAGCUUUUCAUCAAAAUUUCAUCAAAUUUGAUGAACUUUUGAUGAUUUUUGCUAAAAUAUCAAAUUUGAAAAACUUUUGAUGGUCCAUUAGAUGGAGUUUUUUUCACUUUUUCAUCAAAUUUGAAUUUGAUGAUAGAUUUGAAGAACCAUUAGAGAUGCCCUUAGUGACCUGAUAUCAUCUUUAAAAUUCCAUUAUAACGUUGAAAAUGUAUAGGCCAUUUGGGAGAUUGUGGUGGUAUGAAACCGUAUCAACAGCUCUUACCAAAGCAGAGCCCCACAAUCAUGUACGUUUAAUUUAUAUCGUCUUGUGAGUGGUAUUUAACUGUUUAAAUUCAUUUCAUGGACUCACAUUCAAGUUUAAUGUCGAUGUUUUAGGCACAUUUGCAUCCUCAGCAAGACAGGGUGUUAACCGUAAGGGAAAUGGCACGUUUACAAGGAUUUCCUGAUUAUUAUAGACUUUUUGGGGAUAUCAAAGAAAGGUAAAAAAAAAAAAAAAAAAAAAAACCCUUCUGCAAGAAUUAGAGAUUGAUUAUGUUUAAUAUUGAUUGACCUUGAAAAUAUAUGUUUUAUAGAUAUAAACAAGUUGGUAAUGCUGUUGCCUUUCCUGUUGCUCGUGCGUUAGGAUAUGCCUUGGGUAUAGCACACCAAGGUCUUUGUAAUGAUCAGCCAUUGUUUACCCUCCCCAAGAAAUUUUCUCUUUUGAUUACAGAGCGAUCAUCAUUGUCGGAAGAUUCAGAUUGUUUAGCGUGAGCUCUUUUCACCGUCCUAAAAGUUCCUGGCAAGCAGGUUUCCUAUCUCAUUCUAAUACUUCGUUUUUUACUGGUUUAUUGCAGUUCUACUAGCUAGCAUGCCCACAAUGUAGCAGC
rnacentral:lncRNA from 1 species